GAGAGCUGGCUCUUACUGCCUUCCAUGACACCCACAUGACACCACGGCCGCCAUAGCAUCCUGCCGCCGCCGCCGCCACACGCUCCUUUGGCAGCAUGUCUCUGUAAAACUCAGAGACAGUUGCCAGGCCGGGGAUCCCCAGGGUAGAGCAGGAAGGGCCUGGUGCACACACAGGGAACUUGAGAGGUAUCACAGUGUCACCCAAGAGGGCCAAGAAGAAGCUGAGGAGAUCACACAGCCCUGAGCUGCUAACACCCAACACAGCUAUGCGUGGACUCCAGUUGGCUUGCGUGAAACUGCUCCUGGCAGAGAAGGUUCCAGCAGGUUUGAUCACUCUCCAACCGACUGCGUCUGCAUAAGCGAUGAAGAAGAAUUUCAAAUUUUCCUGUUUCCCCUCCCAAACAACCUGGGAUCUGGGCUCCUCCAUCCACCAUCCAGAGCUUUAAUAUGUAAGCUGCAAGCAGCAGCCAAGCACCAUCGAGGGAGGACAGCUCGGUUUUGUUCUAUCCUGUCGUUCUCCCCCUCGAAUCUCCGACCAACCGACCGACUGACCGACCGACUCAUCAGGCAACACAGUCUUCCCUUUUCACUGAGCAGUAUCCUAAAUUCCAGAUUAUGAGGCAGAGCCCGAUACAGGGCAGGGAGAGGAAUCAGAAUCAGAGUCUAAAUCACGGGCUUCUGAAGAGCCAGCUGGAUCUCCAGCCUCUUCGUUAGCUGGUCAGGUGCGGCCCAGUAGAGGAUACAAGCUGUGUUUAUAGUGUUUCGGUGACAGAUGUGAAGGAAAAAGACAAGGCCCCACUUGCUGGGGGAGGAAGAGGCACUCAUGUCCAGAGGAGUUGCUGGGAGCCUGCCUAAGCCCUGCUGGGUGGCCCCUGAACUCAGGACAGAACUCAGAUGUUUUGGGAGGGA